rnacentral:rRNA from 1 species
AACGUAGGAGCCAAGCGUUAUCCGAAUUCACUGGGCGUAAAGCGCGUGCAGGCGGUAUGGCAAGUUGGAUGUGAAAUCUCCCGGCUCAACUGGGAGAGGCCGUUCAAUACUGCCAAACUAGAGGGCGACAGAGGGAGGUGGAAUUCCGGGUGUAGUGGUGAAAUGCGUAGAUAUCCGGAGGAACACCAGAGGCGAAGGCGACCUCCUGGGUCGUACCUGACGCUCAGACGCGAAAGCUAGGGGAGCAAACGGGAUUAGAUACCCCCGUAGUCC